GCCAGCAUGGCAUAGUGGUUUGAGUAUUAGACCACGACUCUGGAGACCCUGGGUUUGAUUCCCUGCUCAGCCA